AAAGAAAAAGAAAAGAGAAAGAGAGAAGAAGAAGAAGAAAGAAACGUGCUGUUAGGCAAGUAGAGGAUUGAUGAAAGAGAACUAAACCUAAGCAAAUAGUGUGAACAAUCACAUAGCUAGAUAGAGAGCAUUGGAUCCCACUUGUGUUGUUUGUAAUCGUACUCCAUGUGCACCUUUUGAUUAUCAAUGCAUCCUAACUUCCAAACACCACACAUGCUCAUGCUUAAAUUAUCUUCAUCCAUCAUCUACAUGUGGAUUUGUUUUAAAAAAAAAAAAAAAAUUAGAACAUGAAUAAGGAGAUCUUGCCUUGCGAUAUUGAGAUGAGGUUCAUUUUCAUAAACUUGAAACUUG
rnacentral:lncRNA from 1 species